CUGUUGCUUGGGAGCCCAUCCCUUACUCCAGUUUGGAAUAUCCAAUCCCUAACAAUGGAAUCAAAUAUAUACUCAAAGAAAUAGGGUGGAAUUGAGACAGUGAUAAAGAGGGUUCAACUGUACUGAAAUCUAUCUGAAGAAAGACUGUGGACAAGAAUAUGGGAAGGACAGGCUGGAAAGUGAAGAGUCACCAGUUUGGAUCUUUGAAGAGCAAAUGAGCUAGAACCUGGAGUAGAAGAUGCCUUCUGCCUCUCAGUGCUCUCUCCCAGCCCAGAACCAGCAAAAUCUGCCUUUGCCUUCUGCACAGUGAGGCCCAAAAUUCAAGAGUUUAUGGUCUUUCAAUACCUGGAAGCAACCCUUUGUCUCAAACCAGAGGAAAUGCAUUAUACCUGCAUAGACUGAAAGAAGAGACUAAGUUUUAUUCUUUAACAAGUCCAGUAAGUUAAAAAGGUCUGUGUAGUUCCUGCUAUAGCCUUCAUCUGAAUUUCUCUGCCUUGUUUUUCUCAACCGGAAAAAGAAAGACAGCUUGGGAAUAUCUCAUAUUAAAUUAGAAAAAUUCUGUGGCUAAGCUCCUUAAGUAAAGGAGUUCAUUUUCGCUUGCAUUUCCCAAAGAAGAUUGAAGUGCUUCCUCCCCACCCCAUUAGCAAUGUACAGUAGCACUUCCUUAAGUGCAGGUUAGAGAGAAAUUAAGGGAUUCCUGGACAAGAAACUAAUGGAAUGCAGGCAAAAAGUCCAUCACUUCCCUGGAUUUCCACUUACAUGAAUAUAAAAGAGUCUAAUACAAGUAUUGGAAACCGAUAAUGGAAUAUAUGAAAGGGUGGCACCAAUUUGCUAGAAUUAUUGUUGGUUGUGGCACAGAGAGGUCUGAAAUGGAGGACAGACUCAUAUGAAUCCAGGCUCUCCAUCUGAAGACUGGAAAGUCAAGAAGGAGAGCUCUUGGAAGAACCUCCUCCCCAUUCCCUAUUUAGAAGGAUUAGUGAUGUGAUAGCCUGACCGAGGGUGACAAGGAGAGGACAUGUACCCCAGUGACAUGCCACACUCUGUGGGGCAAAGGAUGCUUUUAUUCCUGGCUUACAAGGAACACAGACAUCUGUUGCAAAGAGCCUCAUCUGGCUCCUCAUGAGGACAAACAUGCCAAACAGAACUGGGGCACUGCUGCAGCUAAUUCCUGGCUGCUCAACAAACACAGGAGCUCAGCUCCAGCCUGAGGACUGUUCUUCCCUCUGUCACUGCCUCUGGCUUUAGUUCUGGCUUAGUGACCUUUGACUCAAUGACCCAGGCUGGUUAGUAUUUAUACUCUUAAUGAAAAAUAACAUUAAAUCUAAAUCUUUACUUUUUAUCUUGAGUUUAAAGAUUUGGACAAAGAUCCAAAAAAUCUUUGACAGACUCAAUCUCAAUUCCCCAAACUAAACAAGUAGAGAUGACCCUUUUAGGGUGGGAAAACUGAUGAAAUCCAUUAGAGAGAUGCACAGAUAUUGCUGCUUAAAAAGGUGUCAGGAUGAAGAACCAGAUCAAAUGCCUUCUUAUGAACUAUUGUUACUGUUAAAAACAGAGGGGAAAAGUAGUUUUAAAUUUGUGAUAUUAACAUGAUAGGGAAGUGGUUAUUAAGUGUACAUAAAUAAGCAAGGUGAUCAUGAAGAAAACUGAGGUCAGGAAAAAAAGCAUAGGAAAAAAUUCCGAUUUCCAUACUUGAAACCUAAAUAAAAAUAGUACAUAAAACCUAAAUAAAUAUGGUACAUAUACAUAAUGAAAUACUAUCCAGCUAUAAAAAGAAGAAAACUCCUUAAUUUACAACGAUAUGGAUGGAACUGGAGAUAAUUAUGGUGAAUACAGAAAGACAAGUACUGGGUUAUCUCAUUCAUGUGGAAUCUAAAAAUGAUCUCACAGAAGGGAGUAGAAUGCUAGCUUCCAGAGGCUGGAGAAUGGGGGUGGGAUGGGGGCAGGUUGAUCAAUGGGUAUUAAGUUACAGUUAGACAGGAGCAAGAGGUUCUGGUGUGCUAUUGUACAGUAGGGUGACUAUAGACAACAAUAAUAUACUGUACACUAAAAAACAAGAAAGGAUUUUGAAAGUUUUCACCACCAAUAAAUGGUAUAGGUUUGAGGAGAUAGAUGCUCAACCUUAUUCAAACGAUAUCCAAUGUAUAUAUGUAUCAAACAUUACAUGGCACCUCAUUAACAUGUAUAAUUUUCAUGUUUUGUGUAUCAAUAAAAUAAAAAAAUAAAAUUAUUUUGAAGAAUGUUUAAUAAAGUGAGAAAAAAUCAAAAUCUGUAUUUGGGUAGGAAUAUAAGUUGAAAAUGCUUUGUAAAGUUGAUACUAAUAACAAUGUCUAACUUUUGUGAAGUGCUUUCUAUGUGCCAAACAUUAUACUCAGUACUUUGUAUAAAAUAUCUCCCUAUGAUUCAAUGAGUAUAAGUUCUAAUGAUAUACUUUUUGCAGAUAAGGAAACAAGUCUAGAAUUUUUGGGAAAGUUCUAUUUCUUUUUCAGAAUCCACAUGAUCUCUAAACUAUAAACUGCCUUUGCAUUUUAAAAAUGCAUCUAUAGUAUACAAAAAUAGACUUGCAAGAUACCCUCUAAAAUGAUGAUAAUGGUAGGAAUUAUUGCAAUUUUUGUUCUUUUUUAUUUAUACUUUUAUUAAAACCUCCAAAUUAACAAGCUCAAGCUCUAAACCACUUUCUUGCUUUCUCCAGCACAUGCCCUUACUUGACCUCUUACCCUGCUUUAUUUGCAUUAU